CUGCGGUCCAGUCUCUGUGCCCUGCAUCUUGAAAAAAUGGAAUAUGGCAUUUUUUCCCUGCCCAAUUCCAGUUACCUGGGGAUUCUCAGUCACUUCUGUUUGGACUUGCUGCCCAUAUCAAACACCCAGAAGUGCUGAAGAACAAGCUCCAUAUGAAAACCCAAACAGGCUGCGAGACUCCCUGCAGGCAGUGACCUCUACAGCAGUAUGGAGCUUCUUACUGCUAUCUCUCCUCAGUUUAUUCCUUCCCACACGGCACCCCCUGUGGUGAACACUACACCUCACUACACACACACACACACACACAAAAAAAAAAUCAGCUUUAUUCUCUCCCUCAGUCAGCCACCCACACUCAAUCACGAGGGACCAGUGCGUGGUUGCACAAGUGUAUGUGCCAUUUUCUGGUGCGACAUUUCACCAUGUAGGUGCACCAGUGCCGUAUACAGGGUGCAUAUGAGUGUGAAGAGGAGCUAAUGCAUUAGUCUUGCUUUCAGAUUCCUCAGUGCUCCUCAUGGAGGCAGGUCGGAAAUCCCUUAGUUUAGCAACAAUGUGGUCCAGCCAGAGAGGCUCGCAGGGAGAGACACAGCGCUCACAUACAUCUUACUCAACUGCAGCCAGCUGCCUGCAACUGGGGGGAAAAGUGAAAGUCAGGAGGGUUUAUGAGUAUUUCCUCUUUGCACAUGCUGUCACUUUUUUGGAUUGGGAAUCAGUCUGGUCUUUUAUUAUUUCUUUACCCUUCCAUCACAAUCCUGCUUAGACAGAACUGAUAAGACUGUGAUCAAAGUUGUGAAAUGAUGUAUGUCAACACAGCUCUGGCGUUUCCAGAACUGACAGCAGUCAUAUUUCCCUUGUUGUUAGAGUAUCACACAUAGGGUAGUUUGCCCUAAGCUCAAUAUCUAUUUGCUGACACAAAAUAAUAUUUUAUAGAGUUUUUUUUUUGUAUCUUGGAGAUGGCCAUGCUUAGGGUAUCAUCAUAUAAAGUAAAAUAAAUUAUGAAUUUUAUUUUUGUU